rnacentral:rRNA from 1 species
AUGACUGAACCACGACACUUUCAGGCAGCACUUCGCAUUCCACAUUGGCGUGUUGCUAUGGAGCAGGAGAUCCAUGCUCUUCAGCAGAACAACACUUGGCGUCUGGUUUCACCUCCAUCUGGUGUCAAUAUCAUUGAUUCUAAAUGGGUAUUUAAGGUGAAGAAACAUGCUGAUGGCUCCAUUGAGAGGUAUAAGGCACGCCUGGUUGCAAAGGGAUUCAAACAACGGUAUGGCAUUGAUUACGAAGACACAUUCAGUCCUGUUAUUAAACCAACUACUAUUCGUGUUCUUCUUUCCUUGGCUGUUACUCGAGGAUGGUCACUUCGACAGCUUGACGUUCAGAAUGCUUUUCUCCAUGGAGUUCUGGAAGAAGAGGUCUAUAUGCGUCAGCCGCCGGGGUUUGUUGAUCCUGAUCAGCCACAUCAUUUGUGUCAUUUUGUCAAGGCUCUCUAUGGGUUGAAGCAGGCCCCUCGUGCAUGGCAUGCAUGUCUUGGAGCUGCUCUUCGCGCGCAUGGUUUUGUGCCUUCUACAGUGGAUACGUCUCUGUUUAUUCUUCAGCGGCCUGAGGUGACUAUGUACAUUCUGGUCUACGUCGAUGAUAUCAUUCUUGUCAGUUCAUCUGCUGUUGCUACGGACCGGCUUGUGUCGUCUCUUGGUGCUGAGUUUGCUAUUAAGGAUCUUGGGAGACUCCAUUAUUUCCUGGGUUUGGAGGUGCUUCAUUCCGAUGGUGGUCUGGCCCUUUCUCAGAGGAAGUACUCUCAGGAUCUUCUACGUCGUGCUGGUAUCUUGCAGUGCAAGGUUGCCACGACUCCUAUGUCUGCCACAGAUAAGCUGACAGCUCUUGAUGGUGACUUGCUCUCUCCUGAGGAUGCUACAGAGUAUCGCAGUAUUGUUGGUGGGCUGCAGUACUUGCUCAUUACUCGACCAGACAUAUCUUUUGCGGUCAACCGUGUGUGCCAGUACCUUCAUGCACCUUGUGGACCUCACUGGUCUGCUGUUAAGCGCAUCUUGCGCUAUGUUCGUCACACCGGUUCAUAUGGUCUCUCGGGCUGCAUCUUCUGGACUGAUCUCAGCCUUUUCUGA